UCAAUCAGAGCAGUCACAAAAUUUCUCCUUAAAGGCCUGAUAUUAGAGAAGCCCUGUUUCCAUAACAACCCAGCACUAGAACCCCACCCCUAGGGCAAACUAGAAACAAGAUUCCUGCUCCAGGCCAGCCAUCAGAAAAACUAUUAUCAUAACAACCCAGCACAAGACUCUCCCUCAGAGAAGGCAAUCAGCUGAACCCCACAAGGAGGAGAAGCCACCUGGGAAAGCUACCCUCCAAAGAAAGCAAGUAACUAAGAGCAAGGAGAAUUUAUAAACAGAAGCUGCAAGAAAGAGACCGAUAACAGAAAAAGCUGGUGAGACUUGUUUGAACUAGUGCAGAGUGAGUUGAGAAGAAGCAUUAAGACUAUUUUAUCUAAUGAUCACAACACUGCAAAGACAAACAACUUGGAAAGACUUCAGAAUAAAGAUCAUGUAACAGCCAGUUAUGAUUUCAAAAGGCUGGUGAUAAAUCAUACUUCCCACUUCUUGGUGGAGAAGUGAUGAAUUCUAGAUAACAAUAUCAUCUACUUCAGAGAGUUGUCAGAAGACUCAGUUAAUCAGUGGAGCAACAUUAUAUGCCAAGAAUUAGAUUAAGUACUGGAGUUACAAAAAGAGGCAGACAGUUCCUUCUUCUAGGAGCUUUCAAUCUAUAGAUCAAAUGAGAUAACAUGUAAAUCGCCUUACUAACACUACAUAGAGUGCUUCAGACUUGUACAUCCACCUUUUUCCUUGUCCUUCUGGUUUCUGACUUCCUGUUUCUACAGCCUUCCACUGAAUCUGAAAUGAAAGGAAUAAGUAUAUUAAAUAGUUUGUUGGUGAACCCAAGUAAAAGUUAAAAUGAGCCUAUAUCCUUGAGCCUCCUGGAAUUUGAAAUAUGUGAGAGCUGCAAAAAAUAAUAUCUAUGGAAAAUUUUCUGGAAUGUGUCGGUGGUUCAAGAACCCAUUCUUAGGAAAACUCCAGAGUUUUAAACUGCCUUGAAUAUUCAAAAAGUACAAUAUACAACCCUGUAAUGCAGUAAUUGCUUAGAAAGUCGCUUUGAAACCAAAUUUUUACUCAACAUUGAUUUACUCUAGACUUUAAAUGCAGGAAUGAUUAUUCCAAUUCAAUACAUGUUUAUUGAGUAUCUACUAUGAUGUUUAACAUCAUUUAUAUCAACUACCUUCAAAAUGUGGUCAUUUUGCUCAGUGCUUUUGAAAAGAGCAUGAAGAGGAAAGUAUUUUAUAUCAAAUAAAUCCUUAGGGGUUUUUUUGUUUUUUGUUUUUGUGGUUCUUCAUUUUUUUCCUGCUCCUUUUUCCAUUUUGCCUUUAACCUAUGUUCUCUCAUCAGGAAAGGUAUAAAUAUAUAAUUUUCUUGUAAGCCUGGAAGUAGAUUCUGAAUUAUGGACUUAUCAAUCCUCUGUUAUAGGUCUUGGAAAAAAUAGAACUCAGACAAAAAAACAUUGCCCUUGAAUGCUCCAGUACUAUUAUGACCUUGUAGCUUUUCCUUUAGACAUGGAAUCUGACUGUCACUGAUAUCUUAUAGUCAUUUUAUGAGAAGGAAUAGAGGGUCAAUUCAAACUUCAUAAAGCAUGUCCUAAUAGUCACUUGAAUAAAAAACCAAAUGACUGGGUUAGUAACCCACUUAGUUUGAGUGAUAGUUGAUUUUCAGCACUGAAAAUGGAGACAACAGCAGCCUCAAACAUCAACCUAGAAAUAUUGGCCAGGACCUAACAGCCUGAAAGAACAAUGAAG